CCCCGAUUUAACCGGCUCUCUCUUCUCCCCAUGACUACAGCCCCGAUUACAGCGAUCAGCGACGGCGGAUCGAGGGAGGCCGUCCCACCGGCUGAGCUCGUAUCUACCUCAACAUCCUGCCCUGCGAGGACCCGGCCCUCUUCUCCCCCCAAUUGCAGCGACCGGCUAUGGAAGAUUGGAGGAGGCCGCCCCACCGCGGCACCGCCGAACAUAGAUCCACCGCAUCAACCCGCCCUGCGAGCACCCGGCUCUCUUCUCCCCUGCGAUUGGCGGCGUCUCUUUGUGACUUCCUCAUCCCGCCACCCCUUGAUGUUCAAUGGUUCCACUAUAUCCUGCUUUCACACUUAGAGAAUGAAAACCGAUGGGGAAGGCAUGAGCUUUGUUUUCUAUUUUAGAUUUUCAGAAGGUUACUCCAAAGCGCUUCCAACCUUAUUCAUAGAGAAUAGCCGAGUAAGAUUUUUGAUGGUUCUCAUAUCUUUCACAGCUUCAUUAACUAUUUACAUUCUGUGUAUAUAAAUUAAAUAUAUGUAAAGAUGAUGGCAGCUUGGAUGCUGUAUUACAUAUGCUGUUUCUUUGGUAUGUGCUUGUAUGGAUACUCUUGCAUACAGAAAAUUAUAUGUUAGUGUGAAGAUGAUGUUCAUGGGCUUUCCCAGAUUAGAAUUUUGGUAUUGGUAUAUUUGAGUCGGCACAGGUACUGUGAAGAUUUGAAUUUUUGCCAGACACCAUGGCAUGUUAUAUAGGAUGGUCGAUGUACAUUUCAUAGGGUCUUAUGAUCAUUAUCAUCGAUUACACUUGCAUGAUUUCCAGUGCAGAGCCACAGGAAUUAGUCAGUACCAACAUACCUUUCCGUAGACAAUAUUUGCAUGACUGCCUAUGGUUACUCUAAAUUUUAUUUGUUCUUUUUGGGUUGUUCUAUUCCUCACAUGUCGACACUUCAAGCUGGUACGAGUUUUCCUUUAUUUUUCCCUUGAGGAAUCAUGGUCUCUUUGUGAAAAAUGAUUCAAUGGUAGUUAAAUUGAAAUUGGGAGAUACGAUGCAAGUUUCGAAAAAAUAAGCUUUGACCAACACUCAAUUUUCCUUUACUAAACUGGUAAAAUCAAAGCUGAUUGUUAACUUGCUACAUAAAGGUCUAGCUAUAAGUGGAGUGUCCACUACUUGAAUAAGCUGCUCCUACUUUAGAAACAUAGAGCAUCAUCCAUCGAGCCUUAGUUUUGAAACAGUAUAUUAAACUUUUUGCUUUUCUGAACUAUGACAGAACCUACAGUAAUGAUAUUAUUUUUGUUGUUUUUUGUUCUGAACUUCCUGGUCUUGUUUUUCUAGGGUUGUUGGCCGCUUCUCCUUGACUGUGCCCCGGUUGCAUCUUACAUGUUGCUUGCUUCACUUGUUACAUCAGAACACAUGAAGUCUUCAUUUUCUCUUUAUGUAAUCUGACAUGAACUGCUUGUUAGCAGUGUCAGAUGUUUACAAUUAUUUUACACAAUCUAUGUAUUUUGGCAAUUCAUUUAGUUCACUCCCUGUCAUCUUUUCUAGCUUAAGUUACUAAAAUCAUGCCACCGGUGGGGAAGCAGAGCAUAUCUUGCGGAACGGAAAAUAAAGGGUGAGGCGUAUUUGAAGGAAAGGGGAGGAAGGAAAGGAGAUGAAGAGGAAGCCGCUCUUCCUAUGUCGAAAGCAAUGUCAACUUAUAGGCACAAGGAGGAGUUACCCGUGAGACUUAAAGCAUAAGACAGAUCAUUUGAAAGAUGUAGAGGAAGCAUCAAGAAGAAUUGGAAGUUGUGAAGAAGAGCUGACAAGAGAAGAAUGAAGCCUGGGAAAAGAAGCAACAUGAGACAGAUAAACUGAUUGGUAUUCUCUCAAGGGCUCAAGCAACUCAGCAAGCAAAUCAGACGAAACUUGAUGGUGCAUGAAGGCCAUCCUUGCUGAAUCAUACAUUGCAAUAAUUAGGACAACACAUGUGAUCUUUUAGUUAUCAAAAUAUUACUUUUUAUCUUCUCUAUUGUCGUGUCAAACUUGAGUCGGUGUUAUUUUUAUUAUCAUUUCUACUUAGUAGAUGAUAUGGGGAGACCAUUGGAUGUAUAAUAUAAUUUGUUUUUCAUUUCAAUAUAGUAGAUUUGAUAAUACAUUGUAAAUUAUUUGAAAUAAAAUAAAUAUAUUUUGAUGA